GAGUUUGAUCCUGGCUCAGGAUGAACGCUGGCGGCGUGCUUAACACAUGCAAGUCGAACGGGAAUGCCACGCUGAUGCGAUUUCGGUCAAAUCAUGUGGCAUUCGAGUGGCGGACGGGUGAGUAACGCGUGGGUAACCUGCCUUACACAGGGGCAUAACACCUGGAAACAGGUGCUAAUACCGCAUAAGCGCACAGGGCCGCAUGGCCCGGUGUGAAAAACUCCGGUGGUGUAAGAUGGACCCGCGUCUGAUUAGCUUGUUGGCGGGGUAGGGGCCCACCAAGGCGACGAUCAGUAGCCGGCCUGAGAGGGUGGACGGCCACAUUGGGACUGAGACACGGCCCAAACUCCUACGGGAGGCAGCAGUGGGGGAUAUUGGACAAUGGGGGAAACCCUGAUCCAGCGACGCCGCGUGAGUGAAGAAGUAUUUCG
rnacentral:rRNA from 1 species